AUUGAACGCUGGCGGCAGGCCUAACACAUGCAAGUCGAACGGUAACAGGAAGCAGCUUGCUGCUUUGCUGACGAGUGGCGGACGGGUGAGUAAUGUCUGGGAAACUGCCCGAUGGAGGGGGAUAACUACUGGAAACGGUAGCUAAUACCGCAUAACGUCGCAAGACCAAAGAGGGGGACCUUAGGGCCUCUUGCCAUCGGAUGUGCCCAGAUGGGAUUAGCUAGUAGGUGGGGUAACGGCUCACCUAGGCGACGAUCCCUAGCUGGUCUGAGAGGAUGACCAGCCACACUGGAACUGAGACAUGGUCCAGACUCCUACGGGAGGCAGCAGUGGGGAAUAUUGCACAAUGGGCGCAAGCCUGAUGCAGCCAUGCCGCGUGUAUGAAGAAGGCCUUCGGGUUGUAAAGUACUUUCAGCGGGGAGGAAGGGAGUAAAGUUAAUACCUUUGCUCAUUGACGUUACCCGCAGAAGAAGCACCGGCUAACUCCGUG
rnacentral:rRNA from 1 species